UAAUAGAGCAGCUGUAGGAUUCUGGAGAACUCACAGAGGAAGGAGUUCUAAUAUACCUAGAGAGAGAGUAAUCAUUGCUAGCAUUCCUAUUCGUCUUAAUGGCAGUUGCACUACUGGUGCGUGCAGCCCAGAAGUGUGCAACCUGGAUGUUGCCAUCUUUGCUUUAUAGAUUCACACUUUUGAUGCUCUGCUACUUUUGGCCAUUCAUGAAGCAUUUACCAGCAGGAGCCAAACUCUGAUCCACUGGAUGAGCCAUGAUUUAGGAUGAUUUAAGACAAACAACAUUAAGAACUGACCGCUUCAAGGAGGCCUGGAGCAAAUUGAACCGCUGAUUGAAUCCAAAGCCAAAGGACAUUAAAAGAAUCAAGACCCACUUGAGUUUGAUGGAGGGCAAAAGAGACAGAUGCAGCUGUACGUCCACGAGCUAAAGCACAUCAUCCUCAACAACAGGCAUCAGACUCUUCAGGCUAUGAGAGCGAGCUGUUGCUGGAAUUGCAUCAGCCAAUCGCAGAUGCUACAUCACUUCCAGGUCUGGCUGUCUGCUCAGUAAACAUGGCCAUACCUCAGAUGAAGACUGACUCAACAGCAGAACAGAUGGUGAGAUCCUGCAGGAGCUGUUGGGUGUACACAGAGCCGAGACUUCACCUCCUGAAUGAAUGAGGAGACAAAAACAGAUGAGGGUUAUACAAAGAGCUCUUCAGUAUAAAAAAGUAAAAUCUGUUUUUACUCUGAUGGCACCCAUUCGCUGCGGAGGAUCCAUUGCUGAGCAAGUAAUGUAAUGCUACAUUUCUCCAAAUCUGUUCCAACUGAAACAAACUCUACAUCCUGGGUGGCCUGGGGGAUAUAAUAUUUUUGAUCAAAUUUUGGGUAAACUAUUUCUUUAAUAAACCCUAAUACAUAUUAUCUUGCAGAAAGGUUUGUGUGAUUAAUUGAUUAAUUUUAUGUGUAGAAAAUAUAAUUAGCUUAGCAUUAAAGCAAUGGAAGUAAAUGGAAAGUCCGCUGUUACUGAAAACCAAAUGUGGUUGUGCUCGGAUGUGUGACACAGGUUGAUGGCAUUUCUAAAAUACUCAUGUGAAUUAGCAAACAGAGAAAUCGAGGCCAGCAAGGAUGGGGAGCAGGUUUGUUUUGCAGGAGCAGGCCUUUGUAAUUGCUUUGUUUAUUGCCUCUUGGCUGUGUGCGAUGGCACAUAUGAAAUAUUACCAGGAUGAUGAUACGUCUCAGUCUAAUUCAAAAUUAUGACAGCUUAAAGUGUGGCAGAAAACAGGAAGGGGGGAGUUGGCUGGCUUUGCUGUCAUACAUAACACAACUUUGAGUAGAUCCUGACCUUCAGGCCCACAGGUACAGCUAACAAGAUUUUAAAAUGAUGACCUUCCAUAAUAAAUGAUUUGCCUGAACCUCAGCCAUGCGCGGUGGUGACACUAUUAGUGUUUAAAAUGAUGGCAACUUGAGUUGUGCUGUGAAAACUAAUUACAGAUGGGUAAUUGUUUUAUUUGUCUUGAUGUUCGCGUGUGAGUAAUGGCCG
ensembl:lncRNA